AUGGCCGACUCCGCCGCCAAGCGGCCUCCAACACCGGCGCCGGCCUCCGGCGGAGGCGGAAUGGCGUGGAAGCUCUCUUUUGCUCUGUUUGUGUUCCUGGCGGCGCUGCUGUACAAGCAGCUUCAGCCUCCGGCUCCGAGAAUCGUUGGCUCGCCGGGUGGCCCCCCUGUUACAGCAUCAAGAACAAAACUCAAAGACGGCAGGCAUUUGGCAUACCUGGAAUCUGGCGUCCCAAAGGAGAAGGCCAAGUACAAGAUCAUUUUCGUCCAUGGAUUCGACUCCUGCAGAUACGACGCGCUUCAAGUCUCCCCGGAGCUGGCACAAGAGCUGGGCAUCUACCUGCUGUCCUUCGACCGGCCUGGGUACGGUGAGAGCGACCCUGACCCGGCGCCGUCUGAGAAGAGCAUCGCCCUCGACAUCGAGGAGCUCGCCGACAACCUGCAGCUGGGCCCCAAAUUCCACCUCAUCGGCUUCUCCAUGGGCGGCGAAAUCAUGUGGAGCUGCCUCAAGCACAUCCCGCACAGGCUCUCCGGGGUGGCCGUUCUCGGGCCGGUGGGCAACUACUGGUGGUCCGGCUUGCCGUCGAACGUGUCAUGGGACGCCUGGUACCAGCAGCUCCCACGGGAUCAAUGGGCGGUCUGGGUCUCCCAUCAUCUGCCAUGGCUGACCUACUGGUGGAACACCCAGAAGCUCUUCCCGGCCUCCAGCGUCAUCGCCUACAACCCUGCACUCCUGUCCGAAGAAGACGCGAAGCUCAUGGAGAAGUUUGGAAUGCGAACCUACAUGGCGAUGAUAAGGCAGCAGGGGGAGUACUACUGCCUGCACCGCGACAUGAUGGUCGGGUUCGGGAAGUGGGGUUGGAGCCCCCUGGACCUCAAGGACCCGUUCGCCGGCGGCGAGGGCAAGGUGCACCUGUGGCACGGCGCGGAGGACCUCAUCGUGCCGGUCAUCUUGUCCAGGUACAUCAGCGAGAGGCUCCCUUGGGUGGUCUACCACGAGCUCCCGAAGUCCGGACACCUCUUCCCAGUUGCCCAGGAGAUGGCCGACGCCAUCGUCAAGUCCCUGCUGCUCGGAGAGCAGUGA
rnacentral:rRNA from 1 species